GAUAAUGCUCUUUUCUAAAAUAUCUUAGGUCAUCUCCAUUAAGAUUAGAGUAUCUCCAUCAAAGGAUUUAAGCAGUUAUUAAGAGUUUCUAAAGUAUUAUAUGUGAUUAAAUUUAAUUGUUUUGGUAUGAUUUAGUUUAGAAUCGUUGUUUAGAAGAAGAAAAAGAAAUGAACCGACAAGGCGGUGGUGGGAUUGAAGAAGAAGAAGAAGAAAUGAACCGACAAGGCGGUGGUGGACAACGGCUGAGAUCAGCUAGACCCACCACAAUUCAUGAUUGUGCUCUCUCCGGUGGACAACGGCUGAGAUCAGAAGAAAUGAACGCAAUCCCGUCAUGUAUCAUAAGCCACUUCAUGUUUCUGCUGGUAAUGGUAAAGUUGAUAUAGUUAAGUAUCUUCUUUCUUGGACUCAACUUCUUCUUCAUCCAUGAUGUUGAUUUAGUUUUAUUCUGCUGCUGCGACUAAACCACGGUGCACCAGGCAGUAUAGCCGGCAAAACACUAAAAAGUCCAAGAGGGUUACCCAGAAAUUUGCAGCCCUUUGGUUCUGACUCGUUGUCAAAGAUUACGCCUCCAAUAAUAUAUAGCGGUUUGGACAAUUGGGAUGUUGAUGGUCUCCUUGGGGCUGACUUGCUCUCUGAGAUCGUAAGAACAAUAAUUUUCAAACUUGGUGUUUCUCAUCUUAUUUGUUAUCUCCUUGAAUUCAGAUCUUGUUUUCUAGUUUUUUUUUGCAUACAUACAAGAAAAGCUUUUGAUACAAUGUUUAAAGCUAAUGCCAUCUCUUGGGUUAGUACAUAUCUCCUUGAAUUUUGUGGUGUUACAAUACCCAGCUUGCAGAUGUAUGGUCAUGUGGCGUAACCUUAUAUGUAAUAUUGGUUGGAGCUUAUCCAUUUGAGGAUCCACAAGAGACAAGAGAUUAUCCAAAGACAAUACAGAGAAUCCUUAGUGUCACAUACUCAAUCCCAGAGGACUUACACCUUUCACCUGAAUGUCGACAUCUAAUAUCAAGGAUUUUCAUGGCUGAUCCUGCAACAUAUGGUGAGACUCCAUUGCACAUGGCAGCCAAGAAUGGUUGUAAUGAAGCUGCUUGAGAGUGGUGCUUUUAUUGAAGCUAAAGCUAGUAACGGUAUGACACCAUUGCACCUUGCGGUUUGGUACUCAAUAACUUCCAAAGAUAUCUCAACUGUUAAGACACUGCUCGACAAUAACGCAGAUUGCAGUGCCAAAGAUAAAAUCAAAAUGGGAAAAGUUUGGUACAAAUCAAAAUUAAAAUUAAUCAUUUUGUAAUCUAUUUUUAAUAUGCUUUUAUGUCAUGUUUGUUUAAACUUUUAU